UCCAGUUAUUAGAGAGAACCUCCUAUGACAAUCUCAUUAGAGUACAUAGAGAGAUUGCGGUCAACCGACCGAAAAAAGACAAAGUUACUCGCGAUGUCAAGAAGGCGAUCCGUCGUCUUAUAAACGGCGAGAUCACAAUAAUACACUUUCUGAGUGCAGUGGCUCAUGGUGCCGACAACAUUAUCAAUAGGCCACUGCCUCAGAAUGAGUGGUUCCUUCUUGACAUCGCUGGAGAGGAAGAAGUAAUGUGAGAAGGUUGACCGUAUCUCCAGAAGAGGUUGUAAAUAUUAGGUAGAUAGGAAAUAUUAUUAGGAUAGAUCUGUAAAUAUUAAUGUAUUAUCUCCAGAAGAGGUUGUAAAUAUUAGGUAGAUAGGAAAUAUUAUUAGGAUAGAUCUGUAAAUAUUAAUGUAUUAUCUCCAGAAGAGGUUGUAAAUAUUAGGUAGAUAGGAAAUAUUAUUAGGAUAGAUCUGUAAAUAUUAAUGUAUUAAUAUAUAAAUAAAUAAAUUGCAAC